GUGUGGAGCAGGAGGAUUAUGAGAGCUGAUCUGGAGAGUCGUCUACAAAGAGUGACGUCCAGAGCUCUGCUGGAGCUGUGGGGAAGUUCAUGAAUGUUAUAGUUGAUGUUUCAGAAAAAAGGAAGAUGUUUGAGAACCAACAAAACACAGACCACAGAUGAACAAAGGUGAUGUGGCACUAGGAGACUUUAUACCAGAUG